rnacentral:rRNA from 1 species
AUGGCCCGCGGCGAUGAUCUUCACGCCAUCAAACAUCUCCCGCUCAAGCUUAAAGGACCAGCUCGGCAUUGGCUUAAUAGCCUGCCCGCAGAGUCAAUUGGAUGCUGGGAAGACCUGGAAGCCGCAUUCCUCGACAACUUCCAGGGCACGUAUGUGCGACCACCGGACGGAGAUGACCUAAGCCACAUAAUCCAGCAGCCAGACGAAUCGGCCAGGCAAUUCUGGACACGGUUCUUAACAAAGAAAAAUCAAAUCGUCGACUGUCCGGAUGCAGAGGCCCUCGCUGCCUUCAAACAUAACAUCCGCGACGAGUGGCUGGCCCGGCACCUAGGACAGGAAAAGCCGAAAUACAUGGCAGCCCUGACAUCACUCAUGACCCGCUUCUGUGCGGGAGAGGAUAGCUAG